AACUGUCUGGACAUGGGGACUUACGAGGAGCUAGGAUGAAAGGCCUCCUUGUUGCUUAGCCUUGGCAGGGCUCUUCUGGAAGCCAGGCUCUCUCCUAGUCUGAGAAGGCAAGCUUUUUGCUGGAUUACAAAGUCUUCUCUGGUCGUGGCCACGGUCUGUCUACCCCACUCAGCGCCCGCCCUGUGUCCACACAUGCUUGUCAGACUGGACUGAGGAAGCCCACAACUGGGGUGGGUUUGGAAUUUCCAGUCCCCGUCAGCAUCUUACACUCCCAGGGUGGUUUCUUUCAGACUUAGCCCAGUUUUCUUUAGCCUCUCAGUUUCCGGGUCCAAUCUAAGCUACCAGACCAGCUCUGCCAAACCAGAGGCCCAGAUGGGAUCUGCCACUCCAGCCACUGUGAGCAGCUUUGGUUUCAGCCCAAAUGCCAGGACUCGAGAAGUGUCGACAAGGUUGAGGGCUCUAACUUGGAUACACUUUCUUCCAGACAGAAGUUGCUUCUGCCUCUACUGGUCACCAGAGGGCGCCACUAACCAGGGACUGUGG
rnacentral:lncRNA from 1 species